UGAGAUUACAAUGAGGAUUUUCAGCUCCCUCUUCUGAUUUAAGGUUGAGGAAAUUAGCUGGCAGAAUCGAACCUAUAAUUUUUUAGCCACUACUGAGUAA
rnacentral:snoRNA from 1 species